UACGUAGGGGGCAAGCGUUGUCCGGAAUUACUGGGCGUAAAGGGCUCGUAGGCGGCCAACUAAGUCAGACGUGAAAUCCCUCGGCUUAACCGGGGAACUGCGUCUGAUACUGGAUGGCUUGAGUUUGGGAGAGGGAUGCGGAAUUCCAGGUGUAGCGGUGAAAUGCGUAGAUAUCUGGAGGAACACCGGUGGCGAAGGCGGCAUCCUGGACCAACACUGACGCUGAGACGCGAAAGCGUGGGGAGCAAACAGG
rnacentral:rRNA from 1 species